rnacentral:rRNA from 1 species
AGUGAACGCUGGCGGUAGGCCUAACACAUGCAAGUCGAACGGCAGCACAGUAAGAGCUGGCUCUUACGGGUGGCGAGUGGCGGAUGGGUGAGGAAUACAUCGGAAGCUACUUAUUCGGGGGGGAGAACGUAGGGAAACGUACGCUAACAGCGCAGACGACGUACGGGUGAAAGAAGGGGAACAUCGGAUUGUGUGGGAGUGAAUGAGGCGAUAUCGGAAUAGCUAGUUGGGGGGGUAAAGGCCCAACAAGGCCACGGUCCGUAGCUGGUCUGAGAGGAUGGUCAGCCACACUGGAUCUGAGACACGGUCCACACUCCUACGGGAGGCAGCAGUCGGGAAUAUUGGACAAUGGGCGCAAGCCUGAUCCAGCCAUCCCGCGUGGGUGAAGAAGGCCUUCGGGUUGUAAAGCCCUUUUGUUCGGAAAGAAAAGCAGCAGGUUAAUACCCCGCUGUUCUGACGUUACCCAAUUAAUAAGCACCGGCUAACUUCGUG